GCGGGCGCGCCUGAGUGCGUCCGACUCGGGAUCAGCGAGUUCCGAAGGCACCGGUCUCCAAAACCGGCGAUUCCAGGUUCGAGUCCUGGGUGCCCCGCU
rnacentral:tRNA from 1 species